rnacentral:rRNA from 1 species
AUAAGCGGAGGAAAAGAAACUAACUAGGAUUCCCUUAGUAGCUGCGAGCGAACCGGGAGAAGCCCAGCACCGAAUCCCGCUUGUUUGCGCUUGCGCAAGCAUGACGGGACCUGUGGUGUUAGGGAGCGUCCGUUACAGGUUGUUAACCCCUACGCCGUGGGAGCGCUAGAAGUCCUCUUGAAUGGGGCCACGGCCCACAGAGGGUGCUAGGCCCGUGCUGGCAACUCCAUUCGGCGUAGGCGGACGUCUCCUAAGAGUCGGGUAGCCUGAUAGCGCUACCUUAAGCGGGUGGUAAACUCCAUCUAAGGCUAAAUAUACCCACGAGACCGAUAGCGAACAAGUACCUUGAGGGAAAGUUGAAAAGAACUUUGAAGAGAGAGUUCAAU